rnacentral:rRNA from 1 species
GUCUCAGUUCGGACUGUGGUCUGCAACUCGACCACACGAAGCUGGAAUCGCUAGUAAUCGCGAAUCAGCAUGUCGCGGUGAAUACGUUCCCGGGUCUUGUACACACCGCCCGUCACACCAUGGGAGUCGGGAACACCCGAAGUCCGUAGUCUAACCGCAAGGGGGGCGCGGCCGAAGGUGGGUCCGGUAAUUGGGGUGAAGUCGUAACAAGGUAUC